AGUUUGAUCCUGGCUCAGAUUGAACGCUGGCGGCAGGCCUAGCACAUGCAAGUCGAGCGGUAGAGAGGAGCUUGCUUCUCUUGAGAGCGGCGGACGGGUGAGUAAUGCCUAGGAAUCUGCCUGGUAGUGGGGGAUAACGUUCGGAAACGGACGCUAAUACCGCAUACGUCCUACGGGAGAAAGCGGGGGACCUUCGGGCCUCGCGCCAUUAGAUGAGCCUAGGUCGGAUUAGCUAGUUGGUGAGGUAAAGGCUCACCAAGGCGACGAUCCGUAACUGGUCUGAGAGGAUGAUCAGUCACACUGGAACUGAGACACGGUCCAGACUCCUACGGGAGGCAGCAGUGGGGAAUAUUGGACAAUGGGGGAAACCCUGAUCCAGCCAUGCCGCGUGUGUGAAGAAGGUCUUCGGAUUGUAAAGCACUUUAAGUUGGGAGGAAGGGUAGUAACUUAAUACGUUGCUACUUUGACGUUACCGACAGAAUAAGCACCGGCUAACUCUGUGUCAGCAGCCGCGGUAAUACAGAGGGUGCAAGCGUUAAUCGGAAUUACUGGGCGUAAAGCGCGCGUAGGUGGUUUGUUAAGUUGGAUGUGAAAGCCCCGGGCUCAACCUGGGAACUGCAUCCAAAACUGGCAAGCUAGAGUACGGUAGAGGGUGGUGGAAUUUCCGYGUGUAGCRGUGAAAUGCGUAGA
rnacentral:rRNA from 1 species